rnacentral:rRNA from 1 species
CCUACGGGGGGCAGCAGUGAGGAAUAUUGGUCAAUGGACGAGAGUCUGAACCAGCCAAGUAGCGUGAAGGAUGACUGCCCUAUGGGUUGUAAACUUCUUUUAUAUGGGAAUAAAAUGUUCCACGUGUGGGAUUUUGUAUGUACCAUAUGAAUAAGGAUCGGCUAACUCCGUGCCAGCAGCCGCGGUAAUACGGAGGAUCCGAGCGUUAUCCGGAUUUAUUGGGUUUAAAGGGAGCGUAGGUGGAUUGUUAAGUCAGUUGUGAAAGUUUGCGACUCAACCGUAAAAUUGCAGUUGAAACUGGCAGUCUUGAGUACAGUAGAGGUGGGCGGAAUUCGUGGUGUAGCGGUGAAAUGCUUAGAUAUCACGAAGAACUCCGAUUGCGAAGGCAGUUCACUGGACUGCAACUGACACUGAGGCUCGAAAGUGUGGGUAUCAAACAGGAUAGAUACCCCAGUAGUC